GUACCAGGGCUGUUUGCCGUAGGUGAAGAUCUCCCAGAGGACCACGCCGAAGCUCCAGAUGUCGCUCUCCGUGGUGAACUUCCUGUACAUGAUGCUCUCCGGGGGCAUCCAGCGGAUCGGCAGCAUGACAGUUGCGGGUUGCCAGGUCGCGGUGGACAAAGUGCAACGAUGCCAGGUAGACCAUGCCCGAGGCGAUCUGGGCGGCGAUGUGCAGCAUCUGCGGCAGAGUUAGCUGACCCAGCGGCGGCAUCUUCGAUUCCUCCAGGAUACGAGCAUCGGGGCCGUGAGCUCUGCAGACACAGGAGACAUGACUGCCACCAGGAUGACGACUGCAGCUGUCAGAGCUGUGCAUCAGCUCAAGUUCUGUGAAGUUGCUGAUGUUUAAAAAGAACAUGUUGCAAG